GAUAUGAACAAAGACCAAUGCACUAUCUAGAAAAUAUCCGAUUUACCCCUCUUAGAAGGCUAAUAUUAAAAAUACUCUUUCUACGUUCCAACCUAUUUCUAAUAUACCCGUAGAGUUAAAAUCUAUUAAUUAACUUUAUUAUUUCUGUAAAAUUACUAUUUUGUCGUUUCAAAUACACCCUUCCACCAUCACUGACUUUCUUAUUUGCCCUUAAAGUCAGAGGCACAAAAAGUAUUUUGACUUUUGGUCUUUUCCAAUAUACCCCUCUACCGUCACCAACAUUUUUUAUUUGCCCUUAAGUUAAGGGCAAAAUUGACAUUUUAAUUUUUUUUAACUGUGGUAGGUAUUUAACUCACAUUUAACCCAAAUUAACUUAACAGGAGAUAACUACGGGGGUAUUUUGCAAUAAUAGUGGAACAUAUGAGGGAUAUUUUAGAAAGAAAAAAAAAAAAGGAUGAAACGGAUAUUUUCAAAUGUAUGAGGGUAUAUAAGCAAUUAUCCCUAUAUAUAUAUAUAUAUAUAUAUAUAGAGAGAGAGAGAGAGAGAGUUGAGCUAGAAUACUAUCGAUAGCAAACGAGCUCCGUUGCCACCUCAAUGAUAGAGCCUUUAAAUCGACGAUCGGCACCGUUGAACAUGAUCUAUAACACUUGAAGUGUUUAGAAAUCAAAUUUCAAAUUUUUUCGACAUCAUUUGCCUAAUGAUCAAAGGGUUUCAAAAUUUGUAAUUUUAAUGGUUGAUAUGAGGCAUUUUCUCGUUUAACGGCGUAAAGAUAUUCAAAUUAAUUGAAUUUUUGUUAGAAAAUUCUUUAA
rnacentral:lncRNA from 1 species